rnacentral:lncRNA from 1 species
AAGUCUCGGCUUGGAGCUGAUCUUUAACUUCUGGAAACUGAAUUGGUUCUCCAUCAUAAUGUGAAGAAGCCGAAGCAGCCUGUGAAGAGGCGCUAGUGGAAAGGAACUCAGGUGCCCCUGCCCUCAGUCCCAGCUGAACUCUCAGCUGACAGCCAUCACCAACUUGCCAGCCACAGGAGUGAGCCAACUUGAGAGUGGAUCUUUCAGUCCCAGUGGAGCCAUCUCAGCUGACACACCAUGGUAAAAAGAUGAACCAUCCUUGCUGAUCCUUGCCAGUGC